rnacentral:rRNA from 1 species
CGACCUGAGUUCAGGCAAGACCACCCGCUCAACUUAAGCAUAUCAGUCGGCGGAGGAAAAGAAACUAACCAGGAUUCCCCUAGUAGCGGCGAGCGAACCACCUUAGAAUAUUUUUACGACUAUCUACUCUUGGGGGGCGACGACACCAUCCUCGGAAAGAUCUUCUCACACGACUCGCGCGAGGGGGCUAACAACUACUCACCAAUAAUCUCUGACCACAUCCGGA